AGCAGCCGCGGUAAUUCCAGCUCCAAUAGCGUAUAUUAAAGUUGUUGCAGUUAAAAGCUCGUAGUUGAAUUUCGGGAUCAAAGAAUCGGUCAUGCCUUGGUAUGUACUGGUUUUAUUGGUUCUCACCUUCUAAAGAACUAUGAUGUCAUUCAUUUGAUGUUAUGGGGAAUUAGGACUGUUACCUUGAAAAAAUUAGAGUGUUUAAAGCAAGCUUACGCUUGAAUACAUUAGCAUGGAAUAAUGAAAUAGGACAUCAGAUUCUAUUUUGUUGGUUUCUAGGAUCGAUGUAAUGAUUAAUAGGGAUAGUUGGGGGCAUUAGUAUUCAAUUGUCAGAGGUGAAAUUCUUGGAUUUAUUGAAGACUAACUACUGCGAAAGCAUUUGCCAAGGAUGUUUUCAUUAAUCAAGAACGAAAGUUAGGGGAUCGAAGACGAUCAGAUACCGUCGUAGUCUUAACCAUAAACUAUGCCGACUAGGGAUCGGAUGAUGUUAAUUUUUUAAUGACUCAUUCGGCACCUUACG
rnacentral:rRNA from 1 species